UUUAAAAGAAUGAAUGUCGUGUCUUACUUCUUUCUCUUCAUCUUCGUUGUGCAUUCAAAUAUCCAAGAGAAAAGGCUCCACGAAAGUUGUUGCAAUGAUGA